CCUACGGGUGGCAGCAGUGAGGAAUAUUGGUCAAUGGGCGCGAGCCUGAACCAGCCAAGUCGCGUGAGGGAAGACGGUUCUAUGGAUUGUAAACUUCUUUUGUCGGGGAGCAAAAGACGCCACGCGUGGCGUUCUGCGUGUACCCGAAGAAAAAGCAUCGGCUAACUCCGUGCCAGCAGCCGCGGUAAUACGGAGGAUGCGAGCGUUAUCCGGAUUUACUGGGUGUAAAGGGGGCGCAGGCGGGAGCUCAAGUCUGCGGUAAAAUUCCAGGGCUUAACCUUUUCGCGGCCGUGGAAACUGGUUAGCUUGAGUGAAUGAGAGGUAAGCGGAAUGCGUAGUGUAGCGGUGAAAUGCGUAGAUAUCAGGAGGAACACCAGUGGCGAAGGCGGCAUACCGGAGCGCAACUGACGCUGAGGCACGAAAGUGUGGGGAGCAAACAGGAUUAGAUACCCGAGUAGUC
rnacentral:rRNA from 1 species